rnacentral:rRNA from 1 species
GAGUGGGCAACGGUAGGUCAGUAUGCCCCGAAUAUCCCGGGCUACACGCGGGCUACAAUGGGUGGGACAAUGGGUAUCUACACCGAAAGGGGAAGGAAAUCUCCUAAACCCAUUCUUAUUUCGGAUUGAGGGCUGUAACUCGCCCUCAUGAAGCUGGAAUCCGUAGUAAUCGCGUUUCAAAACAGCGCGGUGAAUACGUCCCUGCUCCUUGCACAAAAUCCUUACUCACGCUACUCCUUGCACA